ACAUACAGCUGCAUGCAUCACAAUCAUCCCAUAUUCGUCACUCUAACAGUUAAUUUUUAAUGAAUUCACUGUAUCUCUAGGCAGUUCCUUUCUGUCUCUGCUGAGAAUGAAGAAUUUGAUGGUACCUUUCAGGUACGUUUUUACACAGGAAGCAGAGAAGAAAUGGUCUUACAAUGUGCAUUUGACUAUAAGGCAGUAUAACAUCAUCUUAAGACAAUAACAUAAAGGUAUAAAUUUCCAUUUCAUCAGCCCUUGAUCAGAGCUUUUCGUCUGGUGCAGAGUGCAGGGGCAACCAAGGCUCUGUACCUUUCCCCCAGGAAGUAAAAGUGGUUCCCAGGUACAGGUCCCUGAGGUGCAGAAGGGCUCACUUUGCCAAAAGCCUGGAACCCGCAGCUAUAACAGCACUUAACAAGAUAACCCGCUGAUAACCCUGCUGUUGUUUGAAUGCCAUUGAAUACUGUCUGUCAUUGUUGUGUGAUGUUCAUGAUGUAUGUACUGUUGUUGGACUCACAUGGAACUGAUGUCCACCAAUGAGUACUGUCUGUUGUGUGAUGUUCUAUUAUAUGCAAUGUGGGAUAUGAAUCCUGGGGGCAAUAAACUAACUAACUAACUAUCUAUAACGAUUAGCAUCUUCUGGGGUGCACUCCAACUAUAGGCUCAUCCCCAAAAAUAAUUACAUUACACAUAGUCAGGGAAAAUGAAUGGGGAGUGGCGAGCUCUGGUACGUGUCAAAGUGCUAGUAACCUGUCAUCACACUAUCCAGUCUGACCUGGGACAUUGGAAGACUUCUGCUUUUGCUUACUGUCUGUAUUUCUUAUGUUUAAAACCAUUGUAAUGCAUUAAAUAACGUGUUCUGAAGGUCCCCUUUUACUGAAUCGUUUAAAGCGUAUUUUGGCGUUUAAAGCCAAAAGUUGACACUUAGAAGUCUCAAAGGGGCGAAUGUGGAAGAAUAUUUUGUAUACGCAUUUGAAUGUUUAUGCUUUGUGUCAAAAGAGGAUGCUUAAAAGUAACUGCAAGUAGAUGUACCAGUAUAAUUAAAAAGAAGGCUCAAGGAA